UCAGUUACAUAUUUUCUUAUCGUAUAUCCGAGGCACAGAUUUUUUGGCAAUAUUUCACGCACAGAUAUUUUGGCAAUAUUUCACGCAAUUUGAUGAAAAAUAAAGUUCGGACUUUGCCAAACGUGGAAAAAAACAUGGCCGCUAAGCCUGCGCACUAAGACGCCGGUCAAAACAUUUGCUUCAUUUUGGGUUGACAAUAUAAUCAAAUUCCAUUCGUAGCUGCUGGAAACUGAUCGAUAUGCCGCGGCAAAAAAGAAUCACCGUUCACGAUCCGUGGAAGCUGGAGAGAACUAUUACUAUUUUAGGAAGGGGUUUUCGACUAGAAGCACGGCAGGUCUAUACGGAAUCGCUGUCAGUAUUCUACACUCCACGGUGAAAAAUCUGCUAUACAUAACCGUCCAGGAAAACCAAUCAUAUUGUCGGAAGAAGAUGAGGAUCGCAUAUCGGAUUUUAUUGUCCGGUCAGCUGAAUCUGGCUUCUCCAUCGGCACAAGCCGCUUAAGAAUAUCGGAAGAAAAUGGAUUCAGUUUGGAUUUGGAGUUUGGACUCAUCAAGAUCCGGAUAUUUAGAGACGGAUCCCGAUCUAAACAGCAAAGAAAGCGAUCAGGUCCGCUGGAUCCGCUAAAAAGGCCUGGAGAAUUGCUAAUAGAUUGCCACUUUGUUGUAAACUGCAGUUGUAAACCAUCAAUAAAUAUCAUUGCUUUUGUUUGAUACAUAUGGAUUUAUUGCAGUCUAUAAUUAGGAACACUUUUGUCCAUUAUUAGGAACAAAUACUUAUUGACUGUUCAGAAUAACGAAAAUGGACACGGUUUUCAAAAAUAAAUCGUCUGACUGAUCCCUUAUGAUUAUGCAACCAAUAUAGAGCCCUGCCCUAAGUUAAAAUAUAUAUUUAGCACAUUCGAAGGUAGUCAAUACCGACGACUAAAAAGAAAACCUCUUGUUUUAAUUAAGCCGUUAUCUUCAGAUUUUUUUAAGUGUUCAGAAUAUGGUGCCGGCACGGUAAACCAGGAUUUUCAUCACGAUCAUUUCAAGAUUCUCAUAAGAUAGGGGUAGUUUCUCCUUACUAGUAUAAAGUUUGAUAACCACUUUUGAUGACUUAAAAUAAAAAUGUAUUACGUUUGUUAAGGUUUCGAUGAUUCAAAAAUUCAAUACGUUAUUUUUUAUGCAAAACAUAGUAAAUGAUUUUCUCAAAUAUAUUUGACGCUGAGCCUAGAUAAUUCGUUUUUAUAUUUGUCACUAAAAUUGGACGCUAGACCUCUUAAUCUUAGUUCUCAGAGCUGCCCCUGUACAAAAGAUUGUUCGUAACAUCCUAAGCUAAUAUUUGAAGGUUGAGACCUCAAGUUUUCUGACAAAGUAAAAUGUUGGGACACCCUAGUGGGGACGUUCUCAGUGAU